rnacentral:tRNA from 1 species
GAAGGUGUGGCUCAGUGGUAGAGUACAUGGCUGGCAUGCAGGAGGUCCUGGGUUCAAUCCCUAGUACCUCCA